GGGGAUAUGGCGGAAUUGGUAGACGCUACGGACUUAAAAUCCGUUGGUUUUCUAGACUGUGAGGGUUCAAGUCCCUCUAUCCCCA
rnacentral:tRNA from 1 species